CGACCACGGGGUGGUUCAGGUAAGUUUUUCACUUCUUUCUCCUUGUAUUUUUCGCCUUUUUUAUAUUUAAAGUGGAUUUGUUUAAAAAAUAAAAUAAAAAAAGAAACAAGAAAGCCAAGAUAAACAAGGUAAAGAUCGAAAUCAACCUUCAAAGCUUCUAUUCUGCUUUUUUUGAUUUACUAACGUGCGUAAAAAAAUACAAAGAGAAGAUUGUGGAAUACAAGGUUGUUUACUUCCAUUUUUUUUUGUCAUUUUGCUAUUGAUGCUUGCAUGCUCCUCUCUGCUAUUUCAUUUAAUUCUCUCGUAGGUGUCAGACAAGCAUCAGAGACAUGGGGAGCGGCACGCGAGGUGGCUGCUAACAUGCGGCGCUGGUCAAAGGGAGACCUAGGGUUUUUUUCUUGGCUAAAAGUGUUUUGUUUGUUGGGCUAGGGUUAAUUUGGGCCUAGGGUUAAUUUGGGUUUAGGGUUUGGGCUUGAAAAUUGUUUUGUAAUGGAUUGUUUAGAUUUUUGGACUUCAUAUCUAUUUUGAUCUUGUCUUUGUUUUGGUUUUGAUCUGGGCCCAAGCCAAAAUGGUCUAUUACAGGUUGCUUUUUUCUUUAUCACCUAAUUAUAAAAAUUUUCAUUUUCAUCA
rnacentral:lncRNA from 1 species